AGGGAUUUAGCUUAGCGGUGUAAGCACCUGCCUGGCAAGUACAAAGUCAUGAGUUCUAUCUUUAAAAUUCUUG
rnacentral:tRNA from 1 species